AUAUUGCACGCUGGCCAGGGUAACACAUGCGAGUCGAACACGGACAGGAAAAAGCUUGUGCUUUUUUCUGACAAGAGGGGGACGGGUGAGUGAUGUGUGGGAAACUGCGCCUGGGAGGGGGAUAACUACUGUGAAAACGAGCUAAAACCGCAUAUAACCGCAAGAGCCAAGAGAGGGACCUUCGGGCGUCUUGUGAUAUCAGAUGCGCCCAUAGGAUAUGCGCUAGUGUGGGGGAUAACCUCUCCUAUAGGACAAUCCCUAUAUGUGCUGAGAGAGUGACCAGCCACACUGUGACUGUGAGACGGGCCCGACACUCCACGGGGGACGGCAGUGUGGGAAUAUUUCGCAAAGGGCGCACGAGUGUGGUGGCCCUGUGCCGCGUAUGAAGAAAGCCUUCGCGGUUUUAAAGAACUUUUUAGAGGGGGAGGAAGGGGAGAAAAGUUAAUAUCCUUUGUGCACUGACAUUUCCCCCCGGAAAAAAGAGCCCGGUAUAUCCUCGGCGCGAGGGCGCCGGGGAAUACGGGGGGGGCGAACGUUAUUCGCAAAUUACUGGGCGUGAAAGGCACGCAGAGGGUUUUUUAAGACAAAAUGAAAACCCCCGGGUCUCCCGGGGAAUCCAUUUCUUAUUGGGAAGAUUGUGACUCUUGUAGAGGGGGUAGAAUUUCCAGGGGUGGCGGGAAAUGCGCAGAGAUCUGGAGAGAUACAGGGGGGGGAGGACGGCCCCCUGUACAAGAAUUGAGGCUCACGUGCGAAAAUGCGGGGGCACACAGGUUAGAUACCCUUGUAGUGCCAAGGGCGCAUUUCCCAUUUGCUCUAGCCCGGGGGGUCUCCUAUUCUAGAGCGGCCGCACCGCGCGAGCUCCUAAAUUUCCCCUAUAGAGAGACGCAUUUCGCGCGCUCUCUGGCGUCGUUUUUAUCACAGC
rnacentral:rRNA from 1 species